rnacentral:sRNA from 2 species
CGUAUCUGAAGCCUGACGAGGAUGAGAACCUCCGGGGGCAAGAGGUUCGACCCGAGCGCAGCGAGAGAACGUUGCUUCAGCAACGGCCCGCAGGGCGAGCCACGCAGUGGCGAGUCAUCCUCUAUCACCGACCA